UUUGUAUUACGUGCGGAAAUUGUUACCAUUUUUGAGACCGUGAAAUGGUAACAAUAUCCGCACGUAAUACAAA